UGAACCUGCGGAAGGAUCAUUACCGAGUUGAUUCGAGCUCCGGCUCGACUCUCCCACCCUAUGUGUACCUACCUCUGUUGCUUUGGCGGGCCGCGGUCCUCCGCACCGGCGCCCUUCGGGGGGCUGGCCAGCGCCCGCCAGAGGACCAUAAAACUCCAGUCAGUGAACUUCGCAGUCUGAAAAACAAGUUAAUAAACUAAAACUUUCAACAACGGAUCUCUUGGUUCUGGCAUCGAUGAAGAACGCAGCGAAAUGCGAUAAGUAAUGUGAAUUGCAGAAUUCAGUGAAUCAUCGAAUCUUUGAACGCACAUUGCGCCCCUUGGUAUUCCGAGGGGCAUGCCUGUUCGAGCGUCAUUUCAACCCUCAAGCUCUGCUUGGUAUUGGGCCCCGUCCUCCACGGACGCGCCUUAAAGACCUCGGCGGUGGCGUCUUGCCUCAAGCGUAGUAGAAAACACCUCGCUUUGGAGCGCACGGCGUCGCCCGCCGGACGAACCUUUGAAUUAUUUCUCAAGGUUGACCUCGGAUCAGGUAGGGAUACCCG
rnacentral:rRNA from 1 species